rnacentral:rRNA from 1 species
UACGUAGGGGGCUAGCGUUGUUCGGAAUUACUGGGCGUAAAGGGCUCGUAGGUGGCCAACUAAGUCAGACGUGAAAUCCCUCGGCUUAACCGGGGAACUGCGUCUGAUACUGGAUGGCUUGAGUUUGGGAGAGGGACGCGGAAUUCCAGGUGUAGCGGUGAAAUGCGUAGAUAUCUGGAGGAACACCGGUGGCGAAGGCGGCGUCCUGGACCAACACUGACACUGAUGAGCGAAAGCCAGGGGAGCAAACGGG